GUACACGCUGUGACUAGCAUAUCAAUAAGCGGAGGAAAAGAAACUAACAAGGAUCCCCCUAGUAACGGCGAGUGAAGCGGGAAGAGCUCAAAUUUGAAAUCUUAAAGGGUUUCCCUUUACGAAUUGUAGUUUAAAGAAGUGUUUUCUGUUGAGGUUUUGGUAAAAGUUCUUUGGAAUAGGACAUCAUAGAGGGUGAGAAUCCCGUAUUUGACCUUUACUUUCAACUUUGUGAUACACUUUCAAAGAGUCGGAUUGUUUGGGAAUGCAGUCCAAAAUGGGUGGUAAAUUUCAUCUAAAGCUAAAUAUUGGCGAGAGACCGAUAGCGAACAAGUACCGUGAGGGAAAGAUGAAAAGAACUUUGAAAAGAGAGUUAAACAGUACGUGAAAUUGUCAAAAGGGAAGCGUUUGACACCAGUGUUGUUUUUCUGAAAAUCAAUUAAAGAACUGUUUAUGCUAAGUUGUUUAGACUUUAUCAGCUAACUGUUUAGUUUUGAGCUUUUCUUUAAUGCACUUUUCAGUUAACAAGUCAACAUCAAUUUCUUUUGCUGUAAAAAAGCUUGAGGAAGGUGGCUUGAGAUUCGUCUUAAGUGCUUAUAGCCUCUUGCCUAUGCAGUCGGAGAGAUUGAGGUCUGCAGCGUAGAUCCUUCGGGGCUAAAUGCAUUUGUGCUAAGUUAUAACAUUUUAUAGACAACUUGUUGACUAUGAUUUGUCUUGUAGCUUACUCGCUUAUGUUAUUUUACCUACGCUUAGGAUGUUGACGCGCGUGUGUGCGU
rnacentral:rRNA from 1 species